GGCCACAGUCUCCAUCACACAAUGCAAGACCAUUGAUAACCUUUACAGGUCGACGCGAUAAGGCAGCAUCUAUCGCGUCGACCUGUAAAUGCUGUUAAUGUUCUUGCAUUGUGUGAUGGAGACUGUGGC
rnacentral:pre_miRNA from 1 species